AGUCUCUAUGGGGCGCUAUGGGGCACUAUGGGGCAGGUCCCUAUGGGGCGCUGUGGGGCGCUGUGGGGUGACUGUGUGUCCCAUAGGGAAUGCGGCGCUUUGAGGCCCUAUGGGACGCUAUGGGGCAGGUCCCUAUGGGGCGCUGUGGGGCGCUGUGGGGUGACUGUGUGCCCCAUAGGGAAUGCGGCGCUUUGAGGCCCUAUGGGGCGCUAUGGGGCAGGUCUCUAUGGGGCGCUGUGGGGCGCUGUGGGGUGACUGUGUGCCCCAUAGGGAAUGCGGCGCUUUGAGGCCCUAUGGGGCGCUAUGGGGCAGGUGUCUAUGGGGCGCUAUGGGGCGCUAUGGGGCACUAAGAGGCAGGUCUCUAUGGGGCGCUGUGGGGUGACUGUGUGCCCCAUAGGGAAUGCGGCGCUUUGAGGCCCUAUGGGGCGCUGUGGGGCAGGUCCCUAUGGGGCGCUGUGGGGCGCUAUGGGGUGCUGUGGGGUGACUGUGUGCCCCAUAGGGAAUGCGGCGCUUUGAGGCCCUAUGGGGCGCUAUGGGGCACUAAGAGGCAGGUCUCUAUGGGGCGCUAUGGGGC
ensembl:lncRNA